UACGGGGGGAGCAAGCGUUGUUCGGAUUUACUGGGCGUAAAGGGCGCGUAGGCGGCGUGACAAGUCACUUGUGAAAUCUCCGGGCUUAACUCGGAACGGUCAAGUGAUACUGUCGUGCUAGAGUACAGAAGGGGCAACUGGAAUUCUCGGUGUAGCGGUGAAAUGCGCAGAUAUCAGGAGGAACACCGGUGGCGAAGGCGGUUCUCUGGGCAUUACCUGACGCUGAGGAGCGAAAGUGUGGGGAGCGAACAGG
rnacentral:rRNA from 1 species